GGACAAAUCGAGAGCUUAUUGCAUUGCACGUAAUUUUUUUUUUUUCUUUCUGGCACAUGGCUUGACAAUUAUACUCUGUGGGUCCUCAAGGACUCUUGCAGUUCCAAGAGCCUGUGAAACAGUCUCAGGCUUUAUGGCACCUUUGAAGAAACAAAAGCUUUACAGAGAAAAGGCUGGUUUGGCAGGGGAGGCGCGUGGCUCCCUUCAGCUCACUUUACUGUCUUCCUGGCGCCUUUCUUUUUAGACAAACAAAGCACUUAAAGGGGCUUUGUUGGAUCCAUGACACGGCGGUGCAAAUCUUCAACUGUUUCCUUUUGGAGGAUCAAAUUUACAGUUUUGUCCUGGCUGUUUCUGUAUGGUGAGACACUCAAAAUCCACAAGCAGACUGAGCCAACUGGGCAGAAAGUUUGGAAUUCUGAAAUGCUGCCGAAUUGUCAGGGACCAGCCUAGCUAAUUUGCUGAUUUACUGAACUUGACCCAAAUGAUUUUCUGUGUACACAAAAUUUAUGAAGAUAUCUUUGAAUAAUUGUAUUAAAUGAGAUUCUGGGCCUUUAUUUUCCAUUUUAUUACCUUUUCUGAACACUGUGGAAUCCGAUCAUAUUGAAACAUUUUGUGUUCAGGCUUUGUAGGAAGUGCUGAUGGUUGAACCUCAAAAGAAUUGAAGGGUUAGUUCAUAAAUGAGUAAAAAGCCAGCGGCAUUUAUCCAAAGUUUGUUUAACUAUCCUAACCUCAUGGGCCUGUAAAAAUUCAACUGAAAAUCAUUGAGAAGAGGUCCUCCCAUGAGAUCCCUUGGCACUUUCUGCUUCUGCUUGGAUCGGAAAUACCAUGAGAGUAUUCUUUUUCUGUCCUUUUUUUUAAUUUCCAACAUUUCAACACUUCUAGUUCCAUUUGCAGAUGGAGAAGAGCAGAGGGAAAAAAGGAAUGGGAGGAAAACAUGAACUUUUCUUAACCUAGAAGUUAUUGCACAGCUUUUAUAUGAAAUUUCAAGCCAGAACAUCCCUGGUUGAGGCCAACUGCCUCUGCCUAGGAAACCUCCCAAGCAUGGGAGACUCACCCACCAAGGUUCUGGUCCAAGAUGGCCAUUUAGCAUCAACUCGAGGACAUCUACAAUGGAACUCAGGCUCCGGUCUCAGCACCCAUUAGCCUAACCUCCCAGGGUGUAACAGAAGCAGAAAUUACAUCUAUUACCUACUUAGACCAGUGCUCUGUAGGUCAUGGAAGAGCAUAUUUCAUGUUAGUCCUUUAGAAGGAGCAAUUGUGUGGGUAGAUUGCAAGAACAGCUGCAGUCCUCAUACGCGCAGAGACAGAAAGCAGAUUAGUAUUGCCUAGGACGGUGUUGGGGGAAUUCAGAGGAAAAUGGGGAGUGAUUUCAGAUGGAUGUGGGAUCUCUUUUUGAAGUUAAAAAAAUAUUCUAAAUUCGAUUGUGGUGGUGAUUACACAACUUUCUAAAUGUAGCAAAAACUGUUGAAUUGUACCCUUAAAAAUGCAUGAAUUGUAUGGUAUA